CUCUUCUAUUCAGACCAGGAAGUGGUUUUCCUCAACCACAGUAGACCAGGAAGGACCUGGGAUCUUCUUGCUGAUGUGACAGAUGGCAGUAUACUGUGGAAUGGCUUCCUCAGAAUCACCUCCUUUCCAGCCGGAAGAUACUGAAGAGAACACUAUGCCAACUCUACUGCACAGCUCUCAACUACAGAGAGCAACCCAG